AAACUAACAAGGAUUCCCCUAGUAGCGGCGAGCGAAGCGGGAAAAGCUCAAAUUUGUAAUCUGGCGCCUUCGGCGUCCGAGUUGUAAUCUCGAGAAAUGUUUUCCGUGUUAGACCGCAUACAAGUCUCUUGGAACAGAGCGUCAUAGUGGUGAGAACCCAGUACACGAUGCGGAUGCCUAAUACUUUGUGAUACAUUUUCGAAGAGUCGAGUUGUUUGGGAAUGCAGCUCAAAUUGGGUGGUAAAUUCCAUCUAAAGCUAAAUAUUGGCGAGAGACCGAUAGCGAACAAGUACCGUGAGGGAAAGAUGAAAAGCACUUUGGAAAGAGAGUUAACAGUACGUGAAAUUGUUGGAAGGGAAACACAUGCAGUCAGACUUGCUAUUCGGGGCAACUCGAUUGGCAGGCCCGCAUCAGUUUUUCGGGGCGGAAAAGCAUAGAGAGAAGGUAGCAGUUUCGGCUGUGUUAUAGCU
rnacentral:rRNA from 1 species